AUGCCGUGGACUGUAAUAGGGGACUUUAAUGAAAUUCUCUUUUCUUCGGAGAAGGAAGGAAGGGCUCCACGACACCAGUCAAGGCUUCAGGCGUUCCAAAACACACUCUCGGAUUGCUUAUUGGAGGAUAUAGGAUUUACAGCUGACAAAUUCACCUGGUUUCGUGGAGAUCUAAAGGAGCGGCUUGACAGAGCUGUAGCAAAUUCUGAAUGGAUGGCUAUGCACCCGUUGGUUGGUCUAAACAAUUUAGAGAUGGGUAAAUCUGAUCACCGCCCAAUCUGUUUGGACAUGAAAUAUCUCUCGGGGGUUGCGGAGAGCAGGUCUAAAUAUGGUCAUAAAUUUGAAGCAAGAUGGUUAGAAGAAGAAAGAGUGGAGGAAAUAGUAAAAACUGCUUGGAUGAAAGCUGUCCAUCAAGGCUUGUGUCCAUCGGCUAGAGAAAAACUCGAGUCUGUCCAUAAGGACCUUCACGCUUGGGACAGGCAGGUUCUUAAGGGGCCUCGGACCCGUCUUAAGAAGGCACACAGGGAGCUUGAAAAUCUGAUGCGUGCUCCAUACACUGAUGAAGUAAAGAUGAAACAAAAGGAACUCUCGGUUCUUAUUGAAAAUUUGCUUGAUCAAGAUGAAGUUUACUAG
rnacentral:rRNA from 1 species